UUCGCUUCCCUUAUUGCUUCACAGUGGCAGUGGAGCUGUGCUGUGAUAGCUAGGUGUUGGUUUGUGUUAACAGUGGCUGUGUAGCUGUGCUGUGAUAGCUAGGGGUUGGUUUGUGUUAACAGUGGCUGUGCUGUGAUAGCUAGGGGUUGGUUUGUGUUAACAGUGGCUGUGUAGCUGUGCUGUGAUAGCUAGGGGUUGGUUUGUGUUAACAGUGGCUGUGUAGCUGUGCUGUGAUAGCUAGGUGUUGGUUUGUGUUAACAGUGGCUGUGUAGCUGUGCUGUGAUAGCUAGGGGUUGGUUUGUGUUAACAGUGGCUGUGUAGCUGUGCUGUGAUAGCUAGGGGUUGGUUUGUGUUAACAGUGGCUGUGUAGCUGUGCUGUGAUAGCUAGGGGUUGGUUUGUGUUAACAGUGGCUGUGUAGCUGUGCUGUGAUAGCUAGGGGUUGGUUUGUGUUAACAGUGGCUGUGUAGCUGUGCUGUGAUAGCUAGGGGUUGGUUUGUGUUAACAGUGGCUGUGUAGCUGUGCUGUGAUAGCUAGGGGUUGGUUUGUGUUAACAGUGGCUGUGUAGCUGUGCUGUGAUAGCUAGGUGUUGGUUUGUGUUAACAGUGGCUGUGUAGCUGUGCUGUGAUAGCUAGGGGUUGGUUUGUGUUAACAGUGUCUGUGGGUCAAACCUUUACAAUGAGAGCCUUGGCCUUUCCAGCUUUCACAAAACUAUUGGUGGUUUAUGGCUGGACAUUUUAAGCUGCAAUGAUAAACAUGAAUUUAGUAGUGAUUUGGGCUCUUCUCCGCACAUCAUUCUACACUGAACUCAUUAGAAAGCCUAUCUAGCCUCUCCUCUUGUGCACAUUGACUCCUUUGUAAUGUUUACAACCUUAAGGCCAAAUGUGCUUCCUGCAGCAAUGGUUGGCUUUAGCAAGACAAGACCACUGAGAUACUGACAUGCCUUCAGA